rnacentral:rRNA from 1 species
GGGCUAGCGUUGUUCGGAAUUACUGGGCGUAAAGCGCGCGUAGGCGGAUCUGCAAGUCGGGGGUGAAAUCCCGAGGCUCAACCUCGGAACUGCCUUCGAUACUGCGGGUCUCGAGUCCGGGAGAGGUGAGUGGAAUUCCUAGUGUAGAGGUGAAAUUCGUAGAGAUUAGGAAGAACACCAGUGGCGAAGGCGGCGCACUGGCCCGGUACUGACGCUGAGGCGCGAAAGCGUGGGGAGCAAACAGG